rnacentral:lncRNA from 1 species
UUUUUCAACCUUGAUUCUACAAUCUUGAUUUUGUAGCCAUGGUUCCAUAGUGGUGAUUCUGCAGCCCAAAUUCUGUAAGCCUAGUUAUGUAGUCCUCAUUCAAGUUCAAGUUUAAACCCCCACUCUUGUCUUUUCAGUUACAUAUCUGCCAUUUUUGUUUUUGAGUUUUACUUAUCAAAUGUUAUUUUAGGGUUUUACUUCUCUUAUGUUGUUUGCGGUUUCAUUUUUGUUCUUUGGUGCAACUCCCAUGUUGUUUACGAGUUUCAUUUCUAUGGAGUUUCGGCUCUCUUUCAUGUUGUUUUUUAAUACAACUCCUAUAUUAUUGUGGGUUUCAUUUAUUUAGAGCUCCAAUUCUCUUUUUUGUUGUUUCUGGAUGCAACUCAGCGACCUAUGUAGCUCUACUCUAUAAUUCUCACAUUGUAGCCUUUGUGGCUUCCUGUAGAUGCAUUAUGUAGCUUCUUAUAGCUUCUUGCGGCUAUGGUUUUAAUUUACCAUGAUUAUUUUUGGGUGUGCAUAUGGUAUGUUAGUUUUUUGUUUUUUUGUUUUUUUUUCAAAUCUCACCCUGUAACCUAUGCUUCUUACAGCUUGUUGCAGCUUCGUCGACUGAACUGUGGCUUUUCACCAUUUCAUUUUUAGGUGCAUAUAUGUUAGUUGUUUUCAGCUUCCUGCGGCCUAAGCUUCUUGUCCUUUCAACUUCUUGUAAGCUCCUUUCAACUCCGGUUCAACCUUUGCUUUUCUUUCUUUUUGGCUCCACAUAUGUUAUGAAGGUUUUUUAGCAACCUCUUUAAUGCACUCACAAAGGUCUUACCAAAGUCAAGAUAAACUUUCUUUUUUAAGAAGAUCGGUUACAAAGACAAGGUCCAAGCAAAUUCAAGCCAAGUAAAUUUAUAUAUGUAGUAUCAUGUGUCCAUGGGUUUACAAAGCUGCCAAGAAGAAUUGAAGCUUGCUUGGAGGACUUCACUACUAGUGGAAGACCCAAAAUCUUGAAGAAUGUCGUUUUAGGAGUUUAUAAAAAGAAUCCCUACCUUAGAAUUUUUGGCCAGUUUAGGUCAAUUAUUUAAGAAAAAUUAGCAACAACUUAUCUUGAAAGACAUCUUUUGUACAAUUCGAC